rnacentral:rRNA from 1 species
GAUGAACGCUGGCGGCGUGCCUAACACAUGCAAGUCGAGCGAGAAACCUUUGAACGAAACUUCGGUCUAGUGAUAAGGUGGAAAGCGGCGGACGGGUGAGUAACGCGUAGGCAACCUGCCCCAUACAGAGGGAUAGCCUCGGGAAACCGGGAUUAAAACCUCAUAAAGCGAAAAAGUCACAUGACUUAUUCGCCAAAGAUUUAUCGGUAUGGGAUGGGCCUGCGUCUGAUUAGUUAGUUGGUGAGGUAACGGCUCACCAAGGCAACGAUCAGUAGCCGACCUGAGAGGGUAAUCGGCCACAUUGGAACUGAGACACGGUCCAA